rnacentral:rRNA from 1 species
GCAAGUCCAAGUACACGUCCGUGAACGACGGAAACUGCGAACGGCUCAUUAAAUCAGUUGCGAUCUACUCGGCGUUCCGCGCCGCCGGAUAACCGUAGUAAUUCUAGGGCUAAUACGUGCGAAGCGCCCGAAGCCGCGAGGCGACGGGCGUGCUCGCCGGAUACGGAACCGACCCCGGGGACCGCCGGGGCAACCCCGGCGCCCCCGAGACGGGGCGAACCACGGUGAAACGACGGAUCGUCGGCCCCGCGCCGGCGACUCGCCGAAUGAGUUUCUGACCUAUCAACUCGAGACGGCGGGGUAGAGGCCCGCCGCGGUAACGACGGGUAACGGGGAAUCAGGGUUCGAUUCCGGAGAGGGAGCCCGAGAAACGGCUACCACUUCCAAGGAAGGCAGCAGGCGCGCAACUUACCCUAAUCUCGAUUCGAGGAGGUAGUGACAAGAAAUACCGAUGCGGGACCCUACGGGUGCCGCGUUCGGAAUGAGUACGAUUCGAACCACCUAACGAGGAACGAUCGGAGGGCAAGUCUGGUGCCAGCAGCCGCGGUAAUUCCAGCUCCAAUAGCGUACGUUAAAGUUG